AGACAAUAAAGAGUAUAAAUAAAAUCUGUGCCUCGUGUCUACAGCCCUGUUCCAUUUCUUUCCUCCAGUGGCAUCAAGAGUUUCCUCAAAUUUUUCCUGUGCUUGGAAAUCUUUGGGGUUUGUGUGCGAGUCUCCGAUGCUGUUAACAAUUUCAAUCUGCACCAUUAAAGCUGCAUUUUCUAACCGUCCCCUGGUAAUUGUUGCAAGGACUUAGACAGAAAAAGACCCAAACUUGUACCAAAUACCAGACUCAUUAGAACACCAAAGACUGGAACUUCAAUAAGGAGAAUUUACACUUGUUUAGAAGUCAUACAAAAAGUGGAAUUAAUUCAGUUCUUCACUUCCCCAAGUUUUGUUGGCUUCAAGGGGCUGUUCCCAAAUUACAUUGGUGUCACACUGGAAUGAGAUCAUCUCAGUUCAACCACCACUCAAAACAUCACUCUUACCCAUAAAACAUCACUGGCUUCCAACACUCUCAAAAGUACAAAAGGUUCCUUCAGCCAUGCUUCUUUUCCAAGUGGAAGACGAAAGAAAGGUACAGACAGAGAAUCCAGCACCUAAGCAUCAUAAGGCUAAAUAUUUGUUCACUUGCUUAACAUGCAGUAAGUCCUGGAGUGCUCUCUGUUUACCCAAGAGGAUUUCAGCAUAGAGGCUUGCUCCAGAAAGGUUAAAGUCAGUGAGCAAAAACCAUGUGCGUUUGGUGGACAGCAGUUCUGCAAACAUGACUGACUGAAGAAAGGCAAAAAAUACAAGUACAGCAGCAUGGCACAGCAGAAACCAGCUCAUUGGAGAUGGCAGACGGACAGAACACUAGUUGUUAUGCUUGAUUUUAUAUUUUUGCCAUUAUUUUUUUUUUUAUUAAAGAUUUAAAAAAUCAUUUGAGCAAUUUUGCCAGUGAGACUGAUUUGCAAUGCACAUAAGAUUUAAAGUCUACCUUUGGAUAACUUCAUAUUGUUUUCUGUCUUUAUUUGACUGAA